rnacentral:rRNA from 1 species
UACAGAGGGGGCGAGCGUUGUUCGGAAUUACUGGGCGUAAAGGGCGCGUAGGCGGCCAACUAAGUCAGACGUGAAAUCCCCUGGCUCAACCAGGGAACUGCGUCUGAUACUGGAUGGCUUGAAUCCGGGAGAGGGAUGUGGAAUUCCAGGUGUAGCGGUGAAAUGCGUAGAUAUCAAGAGGAACACCUGAGGUGAAGACGGGUUGCUGGGCCGACACUGACGCUGAAGCGCGAAAGCCAGGGGAGCAAACGGG